UACGUAGGGGGCAAGCGUUGUCCGGAAUCAUUGGGCGUAAAGCGCGCGUAGGCGGCUAGAUCAGUCUGCUGUAAAAGUCAAAGGCUCAACCUUUGAAAGCCGGUGGAUACUGUCUAGCUAGAGUCCGGAAGAGGCGAGUGGAAUUCCUGGUGUAGCGGUGGAAUGCGCAGAUAUCAGGAGGAACACCGAUGGCGAAGGCAGGUCUCUGGGCUGACACUGACGCUCAUGCACGAAAGCGUGGGGAGCAAACAGG
rnacentral:rRNA from 1 species